UCCCACGCGCACGCGGCCGCGCGGCUAGCGGGCGGCGACUGGCUAACCGGGGCCGUUCCACGCCACCUCCGCUCCGGCCGUCAAGGGGCGCGGCGGCCUGGGCCUCCUCCUCUGCGACCUCCUCAUCACCGCCGUCGCCGCGGAGCCCCCCGACAGCCACAUCUGCGCCGCUCCCGUGCUCCGCACGUGGAUCCGCACGCAGGGAGACCCCUCCGCGUCUGCCGCCGACCCGGACAGCUAGGCGGCCAAGUAUGGUAGGUGGCGCAGCCUGUGGCCGAGCUCCCGCGUCCCGCCCACAGAGCUCGCUUCCGAUCUCCGCUUUUGCAAGGUCAGCUACAGAGCUCCUCCCCCACCCUCUCUAUCUCACCUGACAUGCAUCUGCUUUCUCUUCGCCCUUGUUUUUAGCGUGUGCCAAGAUUUGAUUAUUUUGUUUCUUCCACGAAGUGGAGUCUGUGGAGGGGUGGUAGCAGGAGGCAGAUCUUGAUCUGUUCUUGGAGGGGAGAGAGGAGCCGGAGUUUGUUGAGAAGCGGUGCUCAUCUCAUCAUCUUCCGCAGCAGGCGACCAGAAAAAAAUCAAGCUCACUCGAGUCCACGGCUCACCACCUCUCCUGUCCAUAGCAAGAAGCAAUGAGUUUGCAUCGGCCAACGAUGAAGAAAUGCUGCUAGGAUUCGAAGCAAAAAAUGCACCAGAGGAUGCUCAUCUCAUCACCAUUCAAGAGGAUAAAGUAUUGCAGCCCAUAGCAAAAUGCACAUACACUGAUUUUGGUAGAUCUUCAGAUCUGAUCAAACUUCCUGCUACACAAUGGUUUUUACGAGCUAGAACCUUCUCAGAUGACCGCAGGAAACUUCACAGAGAGCAAGCGCCUUCUGGGCUGGUCGGUUCCUUUAUGUGGUCGGUUGCAUGGACCGUGUCGUGGUAACCAAUUGCAACAAGCGAUGCUUGUCAUCAUGGGCAGUGGCGUGGUCAAGAUCAACAAUGGCUACGGUCCAUGCAGGUGCAGUUCGCUUGGUACACAACUGAUUGGCUGCAAACACCUGGUAAUAACUAAACUACUAGAAACACAGCGCGGCGCUGCCGCGCCUUACCGAUCGGGCCAAUAGAAUUCGGUGUUUGCCUCUCGGAGGAAGUGCAACACAUGAAAGCUUGCAGCAUUGACAUUGAGGAAAUAUUAGUGCACGUACAAGCAUUGCAAUUGCUAAUAUGCAUAAACAGGAAUUUACAAUUUAAAACUUUUGUAUCAAAAUAUUAUUGACCCUACUGAUCUUGUUCAUAGACAUGUGCAUUACACCGAAUUGCAUUUGGCAAGACAAUGAUAAAAUUUUCAAGCGGA